GACGAACGCUGGCGGCGUGCCUAAUACAUGCAAGUCGAACGCUGAAGGAGGAGCUUGCUCUUCUGGAUGAGUUGCGAACGGGUGAGUAACGCGUAGGUAACCUGCCUGGUAGCGGGGGAUAACUAUUGGAAACGAUAGCUAAUACCGCAUAAGAGUAGAUGUUGCAUGACAUUUACUUAAAAGGUGCAAUUGCAUCACUACCAGAUGGACCUGCGUUGUAUUAGCUAGUUGGUGGGGUAACGGCUUACCAAGGCGACGAUACAUAGCCGACCUGGGAGGGUGAUCGGCCAAACUGGGACUGAGACACGGCCCAGACUCCUACGGGAGGCAGCAGUAGGGAAUCUUCGGCAAUGGACGGAAGGCUGACCGAGCAACGCCGCGUGAGUGAAGAAGGUUUUCGGAUCGUAAAGCUCUGUUGUAAGAGAAGAACGAGUGUGAGAGUGGAAAGUUCACACUGUGACGGUAUCUUACCAGAAAGGGACGGCUAACUACGUG
rnacentral:rRNA from 1 species